rnacentral:rRNA from 1 species
UACGAAGGAUCCAAGCGUUAUCCGGAUUUACUGGGCGUAAAGGGCGCGUAGGCGGCCACCGCAAGUCGACUGUGAAAUCUCCGGGCUUAACCCGGAAAGGUCAGCCGAUACUGCGGGGCUAGAGUGCAGAAGGGGCAACUGGAAUUCUCGGUGUAGCGGUGAAAUGCGUAGAUAUCGAGAGGAACACCUGCGGCGAAGGCGGGUUGCUGGGCUGACACUGACGCUGAUGCGCGAAAGCUAGGGGAGCGAACGGG